GGUCAAGCUACAAAGAGCUCACGGCGGAUACCUUGGCACACAGAGGCGAUGAAGGACGUGGUUACCUGCGAUAAGUCUCGGGGAGCUGGAAACACGCUUUGAUCCGGGAAUUUCCGAAUGGGGCAACCCUUAGAACGGCCAGCUGAAUCCAUAGGCUGGCACGAGCCAACCCAGCGAACUGAAACAUCUUAGUAGCUGGAGGAAAGGAAAGUAAAAACGACUCCCUGAGUAGCGGCGAGCGAACGGGGAAGAGCCUAAACCGAUGGUUUCGACCAUCGGGGUUGUGGGACAGCAAUGUGGAAAAGGGAUGUUAGUGGAAGUGUUUGAAAGACACGCCAAAGAAGGUGAAAGCCCCGUACACGAAAACUGAACUGACCUAGCUGUAUCCCGAGUAGCACGGAGCACGUGAAAUUCCGUGUGAAUCCGCGAGGACCACCUCGUAAGGCUAAGUACUACUGUGUGACCGAUAGCGAAACAGUACCGCGAGGGAAAGGUGAAAAGAACCCCGGGAGGGGAGUGAAAUAGAACAUGAAACCGUGAGCUUACAAGCAAUGGGAGCCCGACUAAUCGGGUGACCGUGUGCCUGUUGAAGAAUGAGCCGGCGACUUAUAGGUACUGGCGGGUUAAACCGGAAAUGGUGGAGCCAUAGCGAAAGCGAGUCUGAAUAGGGCGUUUGUCAGUAUUUAUAGACCCGAACCCGGGUGAUCUAACCAUGGCCAGGAUGAAGCUUGGGUGAUACCAAGUGGAGGUCCCAACCAACUGACGUUGAAAAGUCACUGGAUGAGCUGUGGUUAGCGGUGAAAUGCCAAUCGAACCCGGAGCUAGCUGGUUCUCCCCGAAAUACGUUGAGGCGUAGCGUCUCGUGCUCCAGCAGGGGGGUAAAGCCACCAUUUCGGUGCGGGCUGCGAGAGCGGUACCAAAUCGAGAUGAACUCUGAAUACCCUGUGUGUAGCGAGGCAGUCAGACUGUGGGGGAUAAGCUCCAUGGUCGAGAGGGAAACAGCCCAGACCGCCAGCUAAGGUCCCCAAAUCAACGCUAAGUGAUAAAGGAGGUGGGAUUGCCCAGACAACCAGGAGGUUUGCCUAGAAGCAGCCAUCCUCAAAGGAGUGCGUAAUAGCUCACUGGUCGAGCGAUCCUGCGCCGAAAAUGAACGGGGCUAAGCGUUGUACCGAAGCUGCGGAUUUAUGGUAGGGGAGCGUUCUAUGUGGGGCGAAGCGUUAGCGUGAGCGGGCGUGGACUGCAUAGAAGUGAGAAUGUCGGCUUGAGUAGCGAAAACAUGGGUGAGAAUCCCAUGCACCGAAACCCUAAGGGUUCCUCCGGCAGGCUCGUCCGCGGAGGGUUAGUCUGGUCCUAAGGUCAGGCCGAAAGGCGUAGUCGAUGGAUAACAGGUCAACAUUCCUGUACCGGUUAUGUUUUGGGAAGAGGGACGGAGAAGGCUAGCCGAGCCAGACGUUGGUUACUGGUUCAAGCGUUCGAGGCUAUGAGGAGCGGCGAAAACGUUCCGAGCUGAGGCGUGAGUACGAGCUGCUACGGCAGCGAAGUCGGUGAUGUCAUGCUUCCAAGAAAAGCUCUAUACCCGUUAAGGCAUAACUGCCAGUACCCGAAACCGACACAGGUGGGGUGGUAGAGAAUACCGAGGUGCGCGAGGUAACUCUCUCUAAGGAACUCGGCAAAUUAGCCCCGUAACUUCGGGAGAAGGGGUGCCACCGCAAGGUGGUCGCAGUGAAAAGGCCCUGGCGACUGUUUACCAAAAACACAGGUCUCCGCUAAGUCGCAAGACGAUGUAUGGGGGCUGACGCCUGCCCAGUGCCGGAAGGUUAAGGAAGCCGGUCAGCGUAAGCGAAGCUGGCGACUGAAGCCCCGGUGAACGGCGGCCGUAACUAUAACGGUCCUAAGGUAGCGAAAUUCCUUGUCGGGUAAGUUCCGACC
rnacentral:ncRNA from 1 species